rnacentral:rRNA from 1 species
AGAGUUUGAUCCUGGCUCAGAACGAACGCUGGCGGCGUGGAUUAGGCAUGCAAGUCGAGCGGGAUCCUUGGGAUUCAAUCCUUCGGGAGAGAAACCCUUGGUGAGAGCGGCGAACGGGUGAGUAUCGCGUGGGCAAUUUACCCUUAAGUUGGGGAUAGCCCUUCGAAAGAAGGGGUAAUACCGAAUGUGGUCGCCCUCCGCAUGGAGGGUUAUCUAAAGGUGGGGAUCCUUCGGGACCUAUCGCUUAGGGAUGAGCCCGCGUCCCAUCAGCUUGUUGGUGAGGUAACGGCUCACCAAGGCUAAGACGGGUAGCUGGUCUGAGAGGAUGGUCAGCCACACUGGGACUGAGACACUGCCCAGACUCCUACGGGAGGCUGCAGUCGAGAAUCUUGGACAAUGCACGAAAGUGUGAUCCAGCGACGUCGCGUGGAGGAUGACGGCCUUCGGGUUGUAAACUCCUGUCAUGAGAGAAAAAUCGUUAGGGCCUUAACACGGUCUUGGCUUGAUGGUAUCUCAAGAGGAAGCCACGGCUAACUCUGUGCCAGCAGCCGCGGUAAUACAGAGGUGGCGAGCGUUGUUCGGAUUUACUGGGCGUAAAGGGUGCGUAGGCGGCAUCGCAUGUCGGAUGUGAAAUCUCACUGCUCAACGGUGAAACGGCAUCCGAAACUGCGGAGCUAGAGUACGUAGAGGAGAGCGGAAUUCUUGGUGUAGCGGUGAAAUGCGUAGAUAUCAAGAGGAACACCGGCGGCGAAAGCGGCUCUCUGGGACGAUACUGACGCUGAGGCACGAAAGCUGGGGGAGCGAAGAGGAUUAGAUACCCUCGUAGUCCCAGCCGUAAACGUUGUGUACUUGGUGUGGGGGGACAUUAUCCCCUUCCGCGCCGUAGCUAACGCGAUAAGUACACCGCCUGGGGAGUACGGCCGCAAGGUUAAAACUCAAAGGAAUUGACGGGGGCCCGCACAAGCGGUGGAGCAUGUGGCUUAAUUCGAUGCAACGCGAAGAACCUUACCAGGGCUUGACAUGCCCGUCGUACCCUGAUGAAAGUCAGGGGUCAGUUCGGCUGGACGGUGCACAGGUGCUGCAUGGCUGUCGUCAGCUCGUGCCGUGAGGUGUUGGGUUAAGUCCCGCAACGAGCGCAACCCUUGUGAUUAGUUGCCACUUCCGUCGAAAGACGGGAAGCACUCUAGUCAGACUGCCUGUGAUAAGCAGGAGGAAGGUGGGGAUGACGUCAAGUCAGUAUGGUCCUUAUGCCCUGGGCUGCACACGUGCUACAAUGGUCGGCACAGAAGGAAGCAAUAUCGCGAGAUGGAGCAAAUCCUGAAAACCGGCCUCAGUUCGGAUUGGAGUCUGCAACUCGACUCCAUGAAGUUGGAAUCGCUAGUAAAGGCGUAUCAGCUACGACGCCUUGAAUACGUUCCCGGGCCUUGUACACACCGCCCGUCACAUCAUGAAAGCUGACUGCACCCGAAGUCGCUGAUCUAAUCCCGCUUGCGGGGAAGAAGGUGCCGAAGGUGUGGUGAGUGAUUGGGAUGAAGUCGUAACAAGGUA